AGCGAGGGUGGCGUUCUAUGGAUUUGGCGCCCCCCAUCCCAGCAGCACGUGGGAGCCGGUGUCUUCGGGAAGAGCUGGGUCUCCUUGCCGGCGACCUCACCAUCUUGCCAGCGACUUCACCUUCACCAGCCCAUCUACAGUUGCUUGAGCUGAAGCAUUGAGAUGGUGAAACAUUAACUAUUGCUGAUUCUAAACUUGGAAAUGCUAUAAAAGAGAAGUUGAAAAUUGGCUGCGUUCACAAUAAUGAUGUGAUGGAGCUAAUGAGAGGGCUCAUAAAUCAGCUUAGUGAGCUUAUAUCUUGGUUGGGCACACAGGACCUUGGUCCGAGGAGCUUGGGACUUUCCCACAACUUGUCUAGAUACAAGCUGAAAUUCAGUCCUAAAAAGGUGAGGAAUUCAUGGGCUUGUAACAUGGAAAAAUAAUUGUAAGUGUAGUUUCAGGUAAGAACAUGCCGAAUAUAACAGCCGAAGAAGGAAGGGACAUGAGGCUGUAAUGUCUUUUUUAUUCCCAUUCCUUUCAGGAAGUCACAGCUAGGAGUGGUGGGUGGACAUAUAACUGUCUGUUAGCCCUUUUAUGUGUUUCUGAAUGAAGUGGGAACUAAUGCUAGAUUCUUUUCCUGAUACAUAAUUGAUAUGUACACUUACCACACUAUCGUGAUCACAAAUGUUUACAACUGUCUGAAUCGUGUGAUUGCAAAGUAGAACCCACAUGAUUGAUACUGAUGA